GGUUAAGCGACUAAGCGUACACGGUGGAUGCCCUGGCAGUCAGAGGCGAUGAAGGACGUGCUAAUCUGCGAUAAGCGUCGGUAAGGUGAUAUGAACCGUUAUAACCGGCGAUUUCCGAAUGGGGAAACCCAGUGUGAUUCGUCACACUAUCAUUAACUGAAUCCAUAGGUUAAUGAGGCGAACCGGGGGAACUGAAACAUCUAAGUACCCCGAGGAAAAGAAAUCAACCGAGAUUCCCCCAGUAGCGGCGAGCGAACGGGGANNNNNNNNNNNNNNNNNNNNNNNNNUGUGAGCUCGAUGAGUAGGGCGGGACACGUGGUAUCCUGUCUGAAUAUGGGGGGACCAUCCUCCAAGGCUAAAUACUCCUGACUGACCGAUAGUGAACCAGUACCGUGAGGGAAAGGCGAAAAGAACCCCGGCGAGGGGAGUGAAAAAGAACCUGAAACCGUGUACGUACAAGCAGUGGGAGCACGCUUCGGCGUGUGACUGCGUACCUUUUGUAUAAUGGGUCAGCGACUUAUAUUCUGUAGCAAGGUUAACCGAAUAGGGGAGCCGAAGGGAAACCGAGUCUUAACUGGGCGUUAAGUUGCAGGGUAUAGACCCGAAACCCGGUGAUCUAGCCAUGGGCAGGUUGAAGGUUGGGUAACACUAACUGGAGGACCGAACCGACUAAUGUUGAAAAAUUAGCGGAUGACUUGUGGCUGGGGGUGAAAGGCCAAUCAAACCGGGAGAUAGCUGGUUCUCCCCGAAAGCUAUUUAGGUAGCGCCUCGUGAAUUCAUCUCCGGGGGUAGAGCACUGUUUCGGCAAGGGGGUCAUCCCGACUUACCAACCCGAUGCAAACUGCGAAUACCGGAGAAUGUUAUCACGGGAGACACACGGCGGGUGCUAACGUCCGUCGUGAAGAGGGAAACAACCCAGACCGCCAGCUAAGGUCCCAAAGUCAUGGUUAAGUGGGAAACGAUGUGGGAAGGCCCAGACAGCCAGGAUGUUGGCUUAGAAGCAGCCAUCAUUUAAAGAAAGCGUAAUAGCUCACUGGUCGAGUCGGCCUGCGCGGAAGAUGUAACGGGGCUAAACCAUGCACCGAAGCUGCGGCAGCGACGCUGAUGCGUUGUUGGGUAGGGGAGCGUUCUGUAAGCCUGCGAAGGUGUGCUGUGAGGCAUGCUGGAGGUAUCAGAAGUGCGAAUGCUGACAUAAGUAACGAUAAAGCGGGUGAAAAGCCCGCUCGCCGGAAGACCAAGGGUUCCUGUCCAACGUUAAUCGGGGCAGGGUGAGUCGACCCCUAAGGCGAGGCCGAAAGGCGUAGUCGAUGGGAAACAGGUUAAUAUUCCUGUACUUGGUGUUACUGCGAAGGGGGGACGGAGAAGGCUAUGUUGGCCGGGCGACGGUUGUCCCGGUUUAAGCGUGUAGGCUGGUUUUCCAGGCAAAUCCGGAAAAUCAAGGCUGAGGCGUGAUGACGAGGCACUACGGUGCUGAAGCAACAAAUGCCCUGCUUCCAGGAAAAGCCUCUAAGCAUCAGGUAACAUCAAAUCGUACCCCAAACCGACACAGGUGGUCAGGUAGAGAAUACCAAGGCGCUUGAGAGAACUCGGGUGAAGGAACUAGGCAAAAUGGUGCCGUAACUUCGGGAGAAGGCACGCUGAUAUGUAGGUGAGGUCCCUCGCGGAUGGAGCUGAAAUCAGUCGAAGAUACCAGCUGGCUGCAACUGUUUAUUAAAAACACAGCACUGUGCAAACACGAAAGUGGACGUAUACGGUGUGACGCCUGCCCGGUGCCGGAAGGUUAAUUGAUGGGGUUAGCGCAAGCGAAGCUCUUGAUCGAAGCCCCGGUAAACGGCGGCCGUAACUAUAACGGUCCUAAGGUAGCGAAAUUCCUUGUCGGGUAAGUUCCGACCUGCACGAAUGGCGUAAUGAUGGCCAGGCUGUCUCCACCCGAGACUCAGUGAAAUUGAACUCGCUGUGAAGAUGCAGUGUACCCGCGGCAAGACGGAAAGACCCCGUGAACCUUUACUAUAGCUUGACACUGAACAUUGAGCCUUGAUGUGUAGGAUAGGUGGGAGGCUUUGAAGUGUGGACGCCAGUCUGCAUGGAGCCGACCUUGAAAUACCACCCUUUAAUGUUUGAUGUUCUAACGUUGACCCGUAAUCCGGGUUGCGGACAGUGUCUGGUGGGUAGUUUGACUGGGGCGGUCUCCUCCUAAAGAGUAACGGAGGAGCACGAAGGUUGGCUAAUCCUGGUCGGACAUCAGGAGGUUAGUGCAAUGGCAUAAGCCAGCUUGACUGCGAGCGUGACGGCGCGAGCAGGUGCGAAAGCAGGUCAUAGUGAUCCGGUGGUUCUGAAUGGAAGGGCCAUCGCUCAACGGAUAAAAGGUACUCCGGGGAUAACAGGCUGAUACCGCCCAAGAGUUCAUAUCGACGGCGGUGUUUGGCACCUCGAUGUCGGCUCAUCACAUCCUGGGGCUGAAGUAGGUCCCAAGGGUAUGGCUGUUCGCCAUUUAAAGUGGUACGCGAGCUGGGUUUAGAACGUCGUGAGACAGUUCGGUCCCUAUCUGCCGUGGGCGCUGGAGAACUGAGGGGGGCUGCUCCUAGUACGAGAGGACCGGAGUGGACGCAUCACUGGUGUUCGGGUUGUCAUGCCAAUGGCACUGCCCGGUAGCUAAAUGCGGAAGAGAUAAGUGCUGAAAGCAUCUAAGCACGAAACUUGCCCCGAGAUGAGUUCUCCCUGACUCCUUGAGAGUCCUGAAGGAACGUUGAAGACGACGACGUUGAUAGGCCGGGUGUGUAAGCGCAGCGAUGCGUUGAGCUAACCGGUACUAAUGAACCGUGAGGCUUAACCUU
rnacentral:rRNA from 1 species